UACAGAGACUGCAAGCGUUAUUCGGAUUCACUGGGCGUAAAGGGUGCGCAGGCGGCCGUGUGUGUGAGGCGUGAAAGCCCGGGGCUCAACCCCGGAAUUGCACCUCAAACUACAUGGCUAGAGCAUUGGAGAGGGUAGCGGAAUUCACGGUGUAGCAGUGAAAUGCGUAGAUAUCGUGAGGAACACCAGAGGCGAAGGCGGCUACCUGGACAAUUGCUGACGCUCAGGCACGAAAGCGUGGGGAGCAAACAGG
rnacentral:rRNA from 1 species